rnacentral:rRNA from 1 species
UAGGGAAUCUUCGGCAAUGGGGGGAACCCUGACCGAGCAACGCCGCGUGAGUGAAGAAGGUUUUCGGAUCGUAAAGCUCUGUUGUUAAGGAAGAACGAGUGUGAGAAUGGAAAGUUCAUGCUGUGACGGUAGUUAACCAGAAAGGGACGGCUAACUACGUGCCAGCAGCCGCGGUAAUACGUAGGUCCCGAGCGUUGUCCGGAUUUAUUGGGCGUAAAGCGAGCGCAGGCGGUUAGAAAAGUCUGAAGUGAAAGGCAGUGGCUCAACCAUUGUAGGCUUUGGAAACUGUUUAACUUGAGUGCAGAAGGGGAGAGUGGAAUUCCAUGUGUAGCAGUGAAAUGCGUAGAUAUAUGGAGGACCACCGGUGGCGAAAGCGGCUCUCUGGUCUGUAACUGACGCUGAGGCUCGAAAGCGUGGGGAGCGAACAGG